rnacentral:rRNA from 1 species
AACGAACGCUGGCGGCGUGCCUAACACAUGCAAGUCGUGCGAGAAAGGGCUUCGGCCCCGGUAAAGCGGCGCACGGGUGAGUAACACGUGGAUAACCUACCCCUUGGUGGUGGAUAACCUUCCGAAAGGAGGGCUAAUACAGCGUAAGACCACGACUUCGAAAGAGGUUGAGGUAAAAGUGGGCCUCUGUACACAAGCUCACGCCAGGGGAUGGGUCCGCGGCCCAUCAGCUAGUUGGUAGGUAACGGCCUACCAAGGCGAAGACGGGUAGCUGGUCUGAGA